UACGGGGGGAGCAAGCGUUAUCCGGAAUUAUUGGGCGUAAAGAGCUCGUAGGCGGUUUGUCGCGUCUGCCGUGAAAGUCCGGGGCUCAACUCCGGAUCUGCGGUGGGUACGGGCAGACUAGAGUGAUGUAGGGGAGACUGGAAUUCCUGGUGUAGCGGUGAAAUGCGCAGAUAUCAGGAGGAACACCGGUGGCGAAGGCGGUUCUCUGGGCAUGAUCUGACGCUGAGGAGCGAAAGUGUGGGGAGCGAACAGG
rnacentral:rRNA from 1 species